CCCUUAGAUGUUCUGGGCCGCACGCGCGCUACACUGAUGAAUUCAACGAGCACUAACCUGUGCCGAAAGGUUCGGGUAAUCUUGUGAAAUUUCAUCGUGAUGGGGAUUGAUUAUUGCAAUUUUUAAUCAUAAACGAGGAAUGCCUAGUAAGCGUGAGUCAUCAGCUCACGUUGAUUACGUCCCUGCCCUUUGUACACACCGCCCGUCGCUACUACCGAUUGAAUGGUUUAGUGAGAUCUUCGGAUUGGCGCCACUGCGGCUCAGCAAUGGGCUCGGUGGAUGCCGAAAAGUUGAUCAAACUUGAUCAUUUAGAGGAAGUAAAAGUCGUAACA
rnacentral:rRNA from 1 species